GAGUCGUCGACGAACGCCCGGUGACGAGAGGCCUCGGCCAAUCGCAUCGCAACUAGUCGUGCGGCGAAGAAUGUGUGCACUUCUCCCAAAGUAAGAACGUCGUGAGCCGUUGAGUGCCGGUCUAAGGCCCGAUGGGUAGCCCAGGAGUGCGUUCGCGCAUUCUUGGACCCGCGGCGCCCGGCCUGCGCCCGACGGCAUAACAAAGGCACGGAGUCGCGAUCGCUCGCGUCCGGCUCGUCACAAGCGCGCGCGGUCAGCUGGAAUUCGGACCUGGUGCCGAUUCUGGACCCGUGCGGCUGCUGGUGGCGGCGCUCUCGGACAGUCUCCGCACAUGCCGCUCUACGACGCUUUAGCUAAGGGUUACUUCUCAGGACCCGUCUUGAAACACGGACCAAGGAGUSUAGCAYGUACGCGAGUCAUUGGGAAUUAUUAAACCCACWGGCGGAAUGAAUGUGAAGACC
rnacentral:rRNA from 1 species